UUUAAUGAGAGUUUGAUCCUGGCUCAGGACGAACGCUGGCGGCGUGCCUAAUACAUGCAAGUAGAACGCUGAGGUUUGGUGUUUACACUAGACUGAUGAGUUGCGAACGGGUGAGUAACGCGUAGGUAACCUGCCUCAUAGCGGGGGAUAACUAUUGGAAACGAUAGCUAAUACCGCAUAAGAGUAAUUAACACAUGUUAGUUAUUUAAAAGGAGCAAUUGCUUCACUGUGAGAUGGACCUGCGUUGUAUUAGCUAGUUGGUGAGGUAAAGGC
rnacentral:rRNA from 1 species